GCUGUAGCUCAAUGUUAGAGCAUCUGCUUUGCAUGCAGAAGGUCCUAGGUUAUAUCCCUGGCAUCUCCA